rnacentral:tRNA from 1 species
GCAGGAGUGGCGGAAUGGCAGACGCGACAGACUCAAAAUCUGUUAUGGGCAACCAUGUGUGGGUUCGAGCCCCAUCUCCUGUA